AGCAUCCCUCGAAAUUUCCCGUCCCCCCGCGUGAGUUCUUCUCGCCGUUGGGUCUGCUCUCCUGUAGACCAAAAUCCCAGAGAGAUUUUUUUCCUUUUUGACGAGAGUCAGAAGAAACAACCCUAAUUGAUCGAUUCUGGGGAGAGAGCAAUAAGAUGGACGGGAACAAAGACGAGGCUUUGAAAUGUUUCAAAAUUGGAAAAGAAGCUUUCGAACUCGGUGAUCGAAACCGUGCGCUGAAAUUUAUCACUAAAGCCCGUCGUCUUGAUCCAACUCUUCCUGUCGACGAUCUAUUAGCAAAGUUGGAGGGUGAGUCUGGUGAUCCCCAAGCUUCGGAAUCGCCCGCAGCAGAUGGUGGUCCCCAUGAUGAAGGAUCCUCAUCGGGUAAGUCUUCUGCUAGUUCUUCUGUUAGGCAAAGGGUGCCGUCAAGUGGGUCUUCUUCAUCAUCGUCGAGGUCUUACACGGAGGAGCAGAUCUCGAUUGUUAGGCAGAUAAAGAAGCAGAAGGAUUACUACCAGAUUCUGGGGUUAGAGAAAGGUUGUUCUGUUGAAGAUGUGAGGAAGGCAUAUCGAAAACUGUCUCUGAAAGUUCACCCUGAUAAGAACAAGGCUCCUGGUGCUGAGGAAGCAUUUAAGGCCGUCUCAAAAGCAUUUCAGUGUCUCAGUGAUGAGGAAAGCAGGAAAAGGUAUGAUCUUGUAGGGUCAGAGGAACCUGUAUAUGAUAGGCCCACGGCGAGGCGCGGGACACAAGGUUUCAAUGGUUUCUACGAUGCCGACAUUGAUGCAGAGGAGAUUUUCAGGAAUUUCUUCUUCGGGGGAAUGCCUGGAACAACCACUCAGUUCCGAGGGUUUACUUUUAGGACUGGCAUGGGACCGAAUGUUCGGACUGGGGAUCAUGGGUCUGGCAAUUUUAAUAUCCGAACUCUUAUUCAGUUACUGCCCGUUCUUAUUAUGCUUCUUUUCAACUUUAUACCGUCGCCGGAACCCAUUUAUGCUCUUUCUCAGUCUCACCCCUAUCAACACAAAUUUGUUACUCAAAAGGGCGUCAACUAUUAUGUUAACACUGCAAAAUUUGAGCAGCAGUAUCCUCCCAAUAGCUCAGAGCGCCUGUCUCUUGAGGAACGUGUUGAGAGAGACUAUUAUUCAGUUCUUGUACGAAAUUGCCGUGUUGAGUUGCAGCGACGCCAGUGGGGCCUUACACGUGAAACACCAUACUGUGACAUGUUAACACAGUUUGAGGCAAUGGCUUGAUGUUCAAAUCAAGAAUGUUGAAGCUAUAUCACCCACUUUGGCUCAAUUUUUAAAUACCCUUGCAAGAAAUGUGGAUUUGGCACCAACAAAAUGAAGAGUGAUAUAUAAAACUAGUAGCCGCCCCCCCCCCCCUUUCCUGAAUCUUGCUCUUUGCCCAUAUUUAUGAGAGCAACAAAAAAUUCUGUCUAUGCGAUGAUAUUCUAGUGGAUAGAAUUGUUAGUGUAUAUCUUGUUUUGCAACUUAUUGUUGCAUUUGGGUGACCAUGGAUUCAUCCAUCAAAACUUGGAUAUAAGCCAUCAAUUUGCUGGAAUUCCAGUAAGUUACUGCAAUCCUGAAAUAGGGCCUCUCCUGAGCGAUGGUUGAGCUGGGUCAUGGCCUCAUGGGUGAGCUCCUGUUGGAAACAAAAUCGUAUCCAGAAGCCCCCUGCCUACAUAUUAGGAAUGGAGGAUAAUGAUUAUCGUUUGGCCUGCGGCAAUAUAAAUAGACCCUACUAGAACAGUUAUUGGCCUUGUCUCAUUGAUAGUUCUCGGCAUCAUUGCACAGUCUUUUGGGGGAAGAAGAUGCUAAAUUGAAUUUGUUUUCAGGGUCCCACCACUUGCAUCAUUGCAUGUCGUUAGAAUUAACCCAGGGCUUUUUAUUGAAUCAUGGAGCAAAAUCCAUCCAAUGCUUCAGGUGGAGAUUUGAUUUCCGUGUAUGAAUAUUUGUAUGCUGGGUCAUUACCCAUUAAUCAUCUUAUGUUUCUGUUGGCUGUGUA